rnacentral:rRNA from 1 species
CUUCGGUGANUGACCUAGCGGCGGANGGGUGAGUAAUACUUAGGAAUCUGCCUAUUAAUGGGGGACAACAUCUCGAAAGGGAUGCUAAUACCGCAUACGCCCUACGGGGGAAAGCAGGGGAUCACUUGUGACCUUGCGUUAAUAGAUGAGCCUAAGUCGGAUUAGCUAGUUGGUGGGGUAAAGGCCUACCAAGGCGACGAUCUGUAGCGGGUCUGAGAGGAUGAUCCGCCACACUGGGACUGAGACACGGCCCAGACUCCUACGGGAGGCAGCAGUGGGGAAUAUUGGACAAUGGGGGGAACCCUGAUCCAGCCAUGCCGCGUGUGUGAAGAAGGCCUUAUGGUUGUAAAGCACUUUAAGCGAGGAGGAGGCUCUCUUGGUUAAUACCUNNNAUGAGUGGACGUUACUCGCAGAAUAAGCACCGGCUAACUCUGUGCCAGCAGCCGCGGUAAUACAGAGGGUGCGAGCGUUAAUCGGAUUUACUGGGCGUAAAGCGUGCNUAGGCGGCUUUUUAAGUCGGAUGUGAAAUCCCCGAGCUUAGAGCUUGGGAAUUGCAUUCGAUACUGGGAAGCUNGAGUAUGGGAGAGGAUGGUAGAAUUCCAGGUGNAGCGGUGAAAUGCGUAGAGAUCUGGAGGAAUACCGAAUGCGCGANGGCAUNCNNUCUGGCCUANUACNGACGCUGNNGUACGAAANCAUGGGAGUUGUAGCAANCAGGAAGAUACCCUGGUAGUCNAUGCCGUAAGANGANGUCUUACNAGCCGUUGGGGCCUUUGAGGCUUUAGUGNNNCAGCUNACGCGAUAAGUAGACCGNCUGGGGAGUACGGNCGCAAGNNNNAANCUNAAAUGAAUUGACGGGGNNCCNNACAAGCGGUGGANCAUGUGGUUNAANUCNAUGCNACGCGAANAACC